rnacentral:rRNA from 1 species
UACGGGGGGGGCAAGCGUUGUUCGGAAUUACUGGGCGUAAAGGGCUCGUAGGCGGCCAACUAAGUCAUACGUGAAAUCCCUCGGCUUAACCGGGGAACUGCGUCUGAUACUGGAUGGCUUGAGAUUGGGAGAGGGAUGCGGAAUUCCAGGUGUAGCGGUGAAAUGCGUAGAUAUCUGGAGGAACACCGGUGGCGAAGGCGGCAUCCUGGACCAACACUGACGCUGAGGAGCGAAAGCCAGGGGAGCCAAACGGG